UGUGUUGGCAGCUAAUAUCUCUAUGUAAUGGUAAAUUGGAACCUUGUGUCUUCAAACUCAGACCUGGGAUAUUUGUUACCAGUAGAGGCAUGCUGGAUUUACCUCCCACAAAUGGUGAGUUGGAAGCUCCUGACUACAGAUAAGUGUCCAUCUCCAAAGACCUCUCCAGAGUUCUGGAACCUCAGGAGAAUUGGAAGUCCCUAGGUGACAAUAAUGCAUCUUGGAAGUUAG